rnacentral:rRNA from 1 species
GACGAACGCUGGCGGCGUGCUUAACACAUGCAAGUCGAACGGAAAGGCCCCCACUUUUUUGGUGGGGGUGCUCGAGUGGCGAACGGGUGAGUAACACGUGGGUGAUCUGCCCUGUACUUCGGGAUAAGCUUGGGAAACUGGGUCUAAUACCGGAUAGGACCAUGGUUUAGUGUCUCAUGGUGGAAAGAUUAUUGUUUUGGUGCAGGAUGAGCUCGCGGCCUAUCAGCUUGUUGGUGGGGUAAUGGCCUACCAAGGCGUCGACGGGUAGCCGGCCUGAGAGGGUGGACGGCCACAUUGGGACUGAGAUACGGCCCAGACUCCUACGGGAGGCAGCAGUGGGGAAUAUUGCACAAUGGGCGCAAGCCUGAUGCAGCGACGCCGCGUGGGGGAUGACGGCCUUCGGGUUGUAAACUCCUUUCGUUAGGGACGAAGCCACACCUUUUUUUGGGUGUGGUGACGGUACCUUUGUUAAGAAGCACCGGCUAACUACGUGCCAGCAGCCGCGGUAAUACGUAGGGUGCGAGCGUUGUCCGGAAUUGCUGGGCGUAAAGAGCUCGUAGGUGGUUUGUUGCGUCGUCUGUGAAUUCCGGGGCUUAACUUCGGGGUGGCAGGCGAUACGGGCAUAACUAGAGUGCUGUAGGGGAGACUGGAAUUCCUGGUGUAGCGGUGGAAUGCGCAGAUAUCAGGAGGAACACCGAUGGCGAAGGCAGGUCUCUGGGCAGUAACUGACGCUGAGGAGCGAAAGCAUGGGGAGCGAACAGGAUUAGAUACCCUGGUAGUCCAUGCUGUAAACGGUGGGCGUUAGGUGUGGGGACCGGUUUGGUUUCUGUGCCGUAGCUAACGCAUUAAGCGCCCCGCCUGGGGAGUACGGCCGCAAGGCUAAAACUCAAAGGAAUUGACGGGGGCCCGCACAAGCGGCGGAGCAUGUGGAUUAAUUCGAUGCAACGCGAAGAACCUUACCUGGGUUUGACAUGCACCAGACGGUUGCAGAGAUACGUACCUCCCUUUGUGGUUGGUGUGCAGGUGGUGCAUGGUUGUCGUCAGCUCGUGUCGUGAGAUGUUGGGUUAAGUCCCGCAACGAGCGCAACCCUUGUCUUAUGUUGCCAGCACUUUGGGUGGGGACUCAUGAGAGACUGCCGGGGUUAACUCGGAGGAAGGUGGGGAUGACGUCAAAUCAUCAUGCCCUUUAUGCCCAGGGCUUCACACAUGCUACAAUGGUUAGUACAACGCGCUGCAAGCCUGUGAGGGUGAGCGAAUCGCUGAAAGCUAAUCUCAGUUCGGAUUGGGGUCUGCAACUCGACCCCAUGAAGUCGGAGUCGCUAGUAAUCGCAGAUCAGCAAUGCUGCGGUGAAUACGUUCCCGGGCCU